CUGCGGGGAAUUACUGACGUCACCAGGCGUCUGUCUCUGAGCAGUACUUCUACAACAGGUCUCCUCUCUCCAGGCCUCUUUGAAAUCCAUCUGCCCAACAGUUGCAAGCCCCAGCUGCUGCCUUGAGGCUUCAGGCGGUGGGGAGAGAAUCAAUUAUCCGACCUCAGCCGCUGCAGCCUGUGCCCCAGCCACGCCUAUGAAGCUGCGCUUAAUGUGGACCUAAGCACUCCAACAACUGCCUUUUGCCCGUGGUCCCCACCUGGCAACGCGAUAAACAUGGUCUCCGCUAUCAGGAGAGUUUAGCAACACCGGAGAUAGGGACCAGCAUGCACUGCACCUUCCGUGUCAGACGCCUUGUGCACAAGUCAAGACGGGAAGCCCCAGCAUCAAGUGUCUGCCGCCACUUCUGCUGCCUGCUGCCUGCUGCCAUGCUUCCCCGCCAGGAUAGACUCUGACCUGCAGGAAUUAUCAGCCCCAAAACAAACCUUUUCUUCUAUAAGUCACCUUGUUCAUGUGUUUAUGACAAUGCCGGAAAGGUAAUAAAUACCUCAGAAAAAACAACCAUCACAAUUCCAAGU
rnacentral:lncRNA from 1 species